AUACGGAGGAUCCGAGCGUUAUCCGGAUUUAUUGGGUUUAAAGGGAGCGUAGGCGGGAGAUCAAGUCAGCUGUGAAAUGUAGAUGCUCAACAUCUGCACUGCAGUUGAAACUGGUUUUCUUGAGUGCGUAAGGGGCAGGCGGAAUUCGUCGUGUAGCGGUGAAAUGCUUAGAUAUGACGAAGAACUCCGAUCGCGAAGGCAGCCUGCCGGGCCGCGACUGACGCUGAAGCUCGAAGGUGCGGGUAUCGAACAGGAUUAGAUACCCUGGUAGUCCGCACAGUAAACGAUGGAUACUCGCUGUCGGCGAUAUGCGGUCGGUGGCCAAGCGAAAGCGUUAAGUAUCCCACCUGGGGAGUACGCCGGCAACGGUGAAACUCAAAUGAAUUGACGGGG
rnacentral:rRNA from 1 species